rnacentral:rRNA from 1 species
GUUCAACCUCAAAAUUGGUGUGCUCCAUGUGUGCACUGACUUGUUUCAGAGUUCAUCACUAUCAAAGCUGCAUGCAAAUGAUUUUUGAAAGGAUACAACAUGGGAUGUGACAUUCAUGUCUGUGUGCUUGCUUUGAUUACAGUGUGUGCUCUAUGAUUCACAUUUCUUGUAACUGAAAUGCAAAUUGCAUGGUAAAGUUCAUGUGAUGUGAUAUGUGUUUGAGAUUCAUGAUGUGCAAGUACCAUGAGGGAAAUGUGAAAAGGACUUUGAAAAGAGAAUUAAACAAAGCCUGCAUUUGCUGAUUGUAAACGUAAGUGAGGAUUGUAAUAGUAAUGUCUCUGCAUCAGUUGACAUGUCUUACGUGUUGUUGUAUGCUUGGCAUUAUGUUCAGCACCACUGAGUGUGCGUACUGGCUUUGAUUGAACUGAUUUCAUGUGGAACUGUUGAAUGAAGAUGCAUGUACACUUGUGUGAAGUAAUGUACGCACCAACUGUGAUCAUGCACUGUUUGCACA